CAGCAGCCACGGUAAUACGUAGGUGGCAAGCGUUGUCCGGAAUUAUUGGGCGUAAAGGGCUCGCAGGCGGUUUCUUAAGUCUGAUGUGAAAGCCCCCGGCUCAACCGGGGAGGGUCAUCGGAAACUGGGAAACUUGAGUGCAGAAGAGGAGAGUGGAAUUCCACGUGUAGCGGUGAAAUGCGUAGAGAUGUGGAGGAACACCAGUGGCGAAGGCGACUCUCUGGUCUGUAACUGACGCUGAGGAGCGAAAGCGUGGGGAGCGAACAGGAUUAGAUACCCCCGUAGUCCCUGUCUCUUAUAC
rnacentral:rRNA from 1 species